GGUGAAAAGAUCAUGUGACCUCAUGUGACACUUCGAAAAAUGGCGUCUGCACUUGGGCUGCUUUUUAUUUCCUGUAUUACUCUGUCAGUUGUUUAUGGCAACAGGCAAAUCGAUGAUGUAAAAAAGUACCCAGAUCCAAGUCCGCAGACUCGGGGGUCUCCUUGGCCAGCUCCAAAGCAGAUGACAAUGUCGGAAACACAGCUCACAGUAGAUCAAGCGACCUUCAAAUUCGAGUUUUCUGAAACUGAAGUGUGUUCCAUAUUAGAGGAAGCAUUUGUUCGUUAUUUCAAAAUCAUAUUUGGUUCAUACUCCACAUCUUUAAAGUUUUCAUCUUGGAAAACACUUCGCAGUAAUAUCGGAUCUAGAAGUCGUUAUUCAGGGACUGUGUCAGCUUUACAAGUGGUGUCACCAUGUAUAGACAAUAUUUAUCCAAGUCUGACAUCUGAUGAAUCCUAUACGUUGGAAAUAACAGAAAAAGGAGUGGCCACUUUGAAAGCUUCUGAAGUAUGGGGUGCUCUGAGAGGAUUGGAGACAUUUAGUCAGCUCAUCUAUCAAGACGGUCUAGGAACAUUUGUACUGAAUGCAACCAGUAUAGAAGAUGCUCCUAGGUUUCAUCACAGGGGACUCCUGCUUGACACAUCCAGACAUUUCUUAUCUCUGGAUGUUUUGAAGAAGAAUUUGGAUGUUAUGUCACAGAACAAGUUGAAUGUUUUCCACUGGCAUAUUGUUGAUGACCAGGCUUUUCCAUACGAGAGUUCCACCUUCCCAGAUAUGAGUAUGAAGGGUGCUUACAAUGCUUUUACACAUGUGUAUACACAAGAGGAUAUUAAGGAAAUUAUUGAAUAUGCAAGGAUGCGGGGUAUACGCGUUAUCCCAGAGUUUGAUUCACCAGGCCACACAAUGUCUUGGGGUAAAGCUAUAGCAAAUCUGUUGACCAAGUGUUACAGUGGUGGCAAGCCUUCUGGGGACGUCGGUCCAGUCAAUCCUGCAUUCAAUACAACAUACACGUUCUUACAGAACUUUUUUCAAGAGAUAUCUACGGUUUUUCCUGAUCAUUAUGUACAUCUCGGAGGUGAUGAAGUCUCUUUCGAUUGCUGGAAGAGUAAUCCUGAUAUAACAGCGUUCAUGGAAAAUAUGGGAUAUGGUAAAGACUAUGCUAAACUGGAAGAAUAUUACAUGGAGAAAUUGUUAAAUAUCGUAAAUGGUUUGAAGAAGGCAUAUAUCAUCUGGCAAGAAGUUAUUGACAAUGGGGCAAAGGUUGCCAGUGACACUGUAGUAGAGGUAUGGAAGCCAGGUUAUGUAGAAGAAAUGAGUAAAGUUACCUCCCUUGGUUAUAAAACAUUAUUAGCUGCACCCUGGUACCUUGAUUACAUAUCAAUACAAGAUUGGCCCAGAUACUACAUGGCCGACCCACAGAAUUUCAAUGGCCGCGGGCAUCUGCUGUAGCUGAAAGACUGUGGAGCCCUGCCAGCUUUAACGAUACAAAACUUGCCACACCAAGAAUUGAUGAACAUAGAUGUAGACUUGUAAGACGAGGAUACCCAGCUGAGCCACUGAAUGGGCCAAGCUUCUGUGGACAUGAAUAUGUGUACCAUCAGUAAAAUAUUUCACUUGGAACAUUCCCCACAUAGUGAUCGUAGUUACAGAAGGGAAAAUUUCAACUUACAUCAUUGUAACAUUUAACGUUAACAUUCCUUAGAUUUAAUAUCUACGGGAUUUGGAGAGAAAAUAUUUUUGUACUGUUUUCAUAUUUUUUUUAGACUUAACACAUCAUUGUACCUAUUAGUCACUCUGAUUUAAUUCCAUUUGUAUGUUAUGUAAGCACCCUUGUCUAAUUUUAUUUGCAAGAAUUUUGAGGAUUGCAUAAACACGAGUUGUAUUUAUACACACCAUCUCUUUCUGAACCAGAUAUUUUUAAGUAAUAAUGUUCUGAAAAUUAUUGAAGAAAACACAAUUUUUUGUGAUUUUGAUACCAAUAUAUAAUUUUUCUAGCUACUUCAUUAUACGAUUACAAUUUUACAGUUUGUGCGUUGUUUACCAGCAUGCACGCUAUUUUCAAGUUUGUAAUGGACAGGCUAUUCAGGUUUUUGUUCUCAUAUUGCCCUGGUUAUAAACAGUCCUUUUUCAUGUGUAUUUUAACAGUGCCAUGAAAAAUGUCAGUAAGAAUGUAAAUAUUGGAGACUUUUUUCCUAGACUGUAAUACAAAUGACACUAUUUUA
rnacentral:misc_RNA from 1 species